AAGAGAGAGACAUGCGCGCAUAUCAAUAAGCGGAGGAAAAGAAACUAACAAGGAUUCCCUUAGUAACGGCGAGUGAAGCGGGAAGAGCUCAAAUUUGAAAUCUUCAAGGUUUUACCUUGACGAAUUGUAGUUUAAAGAAGUGUUUUCUGCUGAAGUUUUGGUAAAAGUUCUUUGGAAUAGGACAUCAUAGAGGGUGAGAAUCCCGUAUUUGACCAUUAUUUUCAGCUUUGUGAUACACUUUCAAAGAGUCGGAUUGUUUGGGAAUGCAGUCCAAAAUGGGUGGUAAAUUUCAUCUAAAGCUAAAUAUUGGCGAGAGACCGAUAGCGAACAAGUACCGUGAGGGAAAGAUGAAAAGAACUUUGAAAAGAGAGUUAAACAGUACGUGAAAUUGUCAAAAGGGAAGCGUUUGACACCAGUGUUGUUUUCUCGAAAAUCAAUUAAAAAUGGCUCGAUUUUGUAUUGCUGAGACCUUAAAAGCUCACUGUACAUUUUUCGUGUCUUUUUUAAUGCACUUUUCGUUUAAAAAGUCAACAUCAGUUUCUUUUGUUGUAAAAGGGUCAUUGGAAGGUGGCUUUCUUUUCGGAGAAAGUGUUUAUAGCCUUUGGCCUCUGCAAUCGGAGAGGACUGAGGUCUGCAGCGUAGACUCUUCGGGGUUAGAUACAUUUGUGCUAAGUUAUAGCUUUUUAUAGACAACUUGUUGACUAUAAUUAGUCUUGUAGCUUACUCGCUUAUGCUAUUUUACCUACGCUUAGGAUGUUGAGUCGUAGAGCACGCAG
rnacentral:rRNA from 1 species